rnacentral:rRNA from 1 species
GACGAACGCUGGCGGCGUGCUUAACACAUGCAAGUCGAGCGAUGAAGCACUUUCGGGUGUGAAUUAGCGGCGAACGGGUGAGGAACACGUGAGAAAUCUGCCUUCAACACUGGGAUAACUCCGGGAAACCGGGGCUAAUACCGGAUAUGAAACCUGCGGGCAUCCGCGGGUUUGGAAAGUUUUUCGGUUGAAGAUGAUCUCGCGGCCUAUCAGCUUGUUGGUGAGGUAAUGGCUCACCAAGGCGACGACGGGUAGCCGGCCUGAGAGGGCGACCGGCCACACUGGGACUGAGACACGGCCCAGAUUCCUACGGGAGGCAGCAGUGGGGAAUAUUGGGCAAUGGAGGAAACUCUGACCCAGCGACGCCGCGUGCGGGAUGAAGGCCUUCGGGUUGUAAACCGCUUUCAGCAGGGAAGAAGCGAAAGUGACGGUACCUGCAGAAGAAGCACCGGCUAACUAUGUGCCAGCCGCCGCGGUAA